rnacentral:rRNA from 1 species
AUACGUAGGGAGCGAGCGUUGUCCGGAAUUACUGGGCGUAAAGGGCGCGUAGGCGGCGCUUCAAGUCGUCUGUCAAAUGGGAGGGCUUAACCCUUUUUCGCAGACGAAACUGGAGAGCUUGAGAAGCAGAGAGGCAAACAGAAUUCCUGGUGUAGCGGUGAAAUGCGUAGAUAUCAGGAAGAAUACCGGUGGCGAAGGCGGUUUGCUGGCUGCAUACUGACGCUGAAGCGCGAAAGCCAGGGGAGCAAACGGGAUUAGAUACCCCGGUAGUCCUGGCAGUAAACGAUGUAUGCUGGGUGUGAGACUAGCGAUAGUUUCGUGCCGAAGUUAACGCGAUAAGCAUACCGCCUGGGGAGUACGGUCGCAAGAUUGAAACUCAAAUGAAUUGACGGGG